rnacentral:lncRNA from 1 species
CGAGGACAGAUGACAAUCACAAAAAAAUUUUCCAAAGUCCACGUCAUCAAUGUAAAGAUAGUAUCAUUCCGGACUCUCCCUCUGUCACUGAAAGAUACUCCUGAUACAACCUUUAAAGUGCAAAAUAACUUUGAAAGGAAUUUCCAGAUGAAAACAUGCCCAGGAGAUAACAUGUUGUACUGCAGUGAAUGUAACACGAAAAAAGAGGCAACAAUUGUGAGUUUGACCUCAAAUGAAAACACAAACUGUAAGCAGGCAAGAUAA